rnacentral:rRNA from 1 species
AUGACAACCGACUUGCAAGCUGCUUGUUUUACAAGACAAUUAACUCAGUUCGCAGAAUCAAACUGGGAUAUGAAACAAGGGUGGUUAAUUUUACAGAGCAACAGGGAAACCAACAGAACCACAUCGCUUAUAAUGAAUUACCCCUUGUUGGAUCACCUCCCAUGCCAUGCUUCACGACGGCCUCUUGGUCUUGGUUUCAGUGCAUCCUCUCAGCCGCUUGUUCUAGCACAAGUUUCAGGGCUUGUUCUGAACCCCUCCAAGCUUCUAAAACUCCUCAAAUUCAGCUUCCAAACGCAGCUUCUAACUCCACGUGGCGAUUUCAGAAACGUUCGGCACCGAAGUACUAGCUUCUAG